ensembl:misc_RNA Metazoa_SRP Metazoan signal recognition particle RNA
GCUAGGUGUAGUGGUGUGUGCCUGUAGUCCCAGCUACCUGGGAGGCUGAGGCAGGAGAAUCGCUUGAGCCCGGGAGUUUGAGGCUGCAGUGAGCUAUGAUUGUACCACUACACUUCAGCCUGGGCCACAGAGUGAGAUUCUGUCUCUA